AUGGAAGGCUAACGGGUCAAGAUGAGGCAAGGAAGCGGGUAUGAACACGGAUGCACAAGGAACGAGUACAUCGGAUUCUUACGAAAUUUAAGCCCAACCCGGAAUAAGAGGAUGAGUGAUACACGGACUUCUUCUGCUACUUAGGAAGUGAAGUGAAC